CUUAUGUCACUAGAAAGGAUCAUGCACCACCACCUAAUAUUAUAGAGCAUGAAAAUUUGGUCCUUUCGUUAUAGUCUUUCUUAGGGUAAGGUCGAUGGGUAUAAAAGAUGCAGUCACGACCGCAUAUAGUUUUCUUACGUCUUCUUUACUAGAAUUAACAAGAGCUCUUAUUAGAUGUUUCACUGAUCAAAACUUGUUCGCUUCAUUUCGUUUUAAAUCUGGCGGAAUGCUAUUUUAGCAGUUAAUAUAUUUCUUUUAAGUUAAGUGAAGUUUAAGAAAAUUAAUGUUUUGUGUUCUUGUUAUACUAUGUGACAUUGUUAGUCAAUAAUCGGAUAAAGAAAAACGUAGUUCUUUACUUUUUAAACGUUUAGCUGAAACGGUCAAUUAUUUGUCAAAAUAGUUAAUUCGUAAUGCUUAACAUAAGUUUACUUAAAGAUUAGCUAAAAGUUAAUAUAAAGGAAAAGUUUAUACGCUAUAGGUUAAUACAAAAUUAAAUUAAUGUAACAGAAAAGGACAGAUGAAAAUAAAAUAGUUAAAAAAGAUCAAGAAGGCAUAGCCUGACAUUUGGCAGUAACGAUAAGAGUUGAAUCACAAAUGUAUUUACUUCUGCUAGAAAUAGAGAAAUAGAAAAUAUUAACAGUUAUCAUUAAAAUUCUUGCAUUAAACUCGUAAGGGAGAAAUGGUUAUGCUGGCUACUUUACUAUGGCAAGUGAGGCGAGGGCAAAGAAAUUUCUACAAUUUCUGCUCGAUACGACAAAGUCCGACUUGUUUAAUAAGAGCAAUGAGAAGAUAGCGCUACACAUCAACAUAUAUAGUCAUAAAACUAAAACCCUAAGUCAGCCUUCUUCACUCAAACGAAGUUAAAAUAUUUCAAAUGAGCCAAAGUACGUUAUUCAAAUGCCGCCAUUGCCCAGACAUUCAAGCAUCUGCACAUAAAAUCGAAAGCCAAGAGAUCUUACAAUUGCUAACGUAGGAGAAAAUGUCUUUAAAUGAAGCUAAACGUAUUGCUGCUCAUCGGGCUGUGAAUGAAUGAAGGGUUCAAACCGACACAGCAAUUGGUAUAGGAAGGGGGUCAACAGUUGUAUUUGUGGUGGGAAGACUUGCAGAAAGGAUGAAGUCCCAGAAUCUUAAUGUUGCGUGUGUACCAACCAGUUUUCAGGCACGCCAACUUAUAAUAGAAGACGGAUUACAAUUAAGUGAUUUGGAUCGUAACCACCAACCGCCGAUAUAACAUAUAACUGCGAGGUCCAUAACGAGAGCUCUGACGGACCGUCUACGACGACCUAGAUGUGGACAUCCAAACAGUCACGAACUUCCACGCAAUCAUGGAAGAGCUGCUGGAGGCUUACCCUGGAAUAACUAUCGCGCCAUACAGGGUAAGCCAAGAUCUGUUGGAAAGAUUUUUCAGCAACAUGGUAGUCAACAAUAGCAACAGAAAAUGCCGGUCAUCCGUAGAAAUAAUGGCGGUGAUCAAAAGGCUAAGGACCGUACAGGAGUAGCGUUGGUCAGAAGCAGUCGAAGAGAAGAACGACUACCUGCUUAUCGAUAAACUGAGCUACGACCUUGAAGAGUUCCUGAGGCUACUUUCAAGAUGUGGAAUAGCACGCUACAUUCGUGAGCAGCUGUAAUGCGUAAUAUGAGGAAUUUACGCUGAACGAAGACGCCUUCUGCUAUGUGAAACGAGGUCGCAAGGUUGCCAGAAAUAAACUAAAUAGCUUAACGUAGACCUCGAAAUAUCUGAAACCGGCCUUUCCAACAGAAUCUGUCCAUGAAGCUUUUCAGAGACGUUACGAAAUCUUCUACGCGGCCAUGACACAGUACCUGCUCGCAAAGAAUAGGCAUGCGUCUACAGGCAACAAUAGUGAGACGAAUUCCUUUUUUCCGAAGAUCAGGAUCAUGCAGCAGAAGUGAGCUGCACCGAAGAAACCGGAAUAAAUUUCAGGGAGAAAAUGGACACCAACAUCACGUGGUCGUAAGUUUCCCCGCGCGUCAUCUCCACCCUCCUCGCAAAAAAUUCGUUGCAUUCCAAUGAUUAAAGCACAAUAAGACAAUAAAAAUUUUUCAGCAUAAAAAAACAAAUUUUUUUUUCCCGUGAAGGAUAUUAAGUAGCAGUAAAUAUGCUGAGCAAGUCUUACGUGCAGCCAAAGAAUUCCCCAUGCUCAAUGUUGAUGCCACUUUGCAGCCCAUAACACGUACAGUAUUACGUAUUAACAUCAAUAUAUGGCAAAACUUUGCUUGGAAUGAUCGGGUACAUGGUUUAUAUUGCGCCUUUGAAAGCUUCGGUUAAGGAAAGAAUUAGCGAUUGCAUUCUCAACUGAAGAGAAUAUGUACAGUGUAUGUAUGUACACAAUAUGUAUGUUGUACUAAUUGUUAUAGUCGAAAUACAUUUUGUAAUUGUGUCAUCGACGAAUUUCAUUACGUCAACACAGGAUGCAAUAUAUGUAUCGUUGGUUUAUCUACUGCUUUGGCCAACGUUCAAGAUCUCGCCAAUUGGCUGGAUAUUAAGGAAAUGAAGUUAUAUAAUUUUCAACCUUCCGUAAGAUCGUUUCCUUUGCAAGUGC